rnacentral:lncRNA from 1 species
CAGCUCUACCAGCUGAGACGGGUACAGUCUGGUUCUCUUCCUCCAUUUUUGCUGGGUUGCCGUCCUCACCUGGGAGUGCACAUCAGGAUGGUCCAGCUGCUUGCAUUGUGGGAAGAGAUCUAAGAGACUCAAGAUUCUUUCUCUUCUUUCUUCCUGCCUUGAAGUUGUAACGGCCCUUCAUCUUUUGCUAUCUCAAAUGCCCCACACAGAACCUCCAAAACCUCCCAUCAGUACAAAGGAACCCAACAAAGUCUAAGGUGAUUAGAAGGAAAAUGGUUUGUGAGUAUUGCUGCUGCUUCUCCCAAAUGGAACUUACAGAAAACUUUCUACCAGCCUUGACCAGUUCUCCACCAACCCAUUGGUUCAUAUGGUGAGGCAGAACCCAAGGACAAGAGGACCUUUCAUAGGACCGGAUGGAAACUCUGAUACUUUUGUGAAGAGCUCUAUAUAAUUAGUCCCCAGUGCACUGUGGAGGUGGCUCUGCCAUUUUGACAACGUAAUUUAAAACCUGACUUUGCUUUAGAAUUGCCUCUGUGAUCACUGCUAAAAUCCGCCCUGCUCCUGGGCCACGAGCUCCACACCACAGCCCAAAGUGGGAGUGACAACUUGGAC